GACGAACGCUGGCGGCGUGCCUAAUACAUGCAAGUCGAACGCAGUGGGGACGGGUGAGUAACACGUGGCUAACCUCCCAUCAGACGGGAUAACCCUUGGAUAAUGGUGCUAAACCGCUACUGAUGGAUCGACCCACGGUGCAUUAGCUAGUUGGUGAGGUAACGGCUCACCAAGGCCACGAUGCAUAGCCGACCUGAGAGGGUGAGCGGCCACACUGGGACUGAGACACGGCCCAGACUCCUACGGGAGGCAGCAGUAGGGAAUCUUCGGCAAUGGACGAAAGUCUGACCGAGCAACGCCGCGUGAGUGAAGAAGGUUUUCGGAUCGUAAAACUCUGUUGUUAGAGAAGCGGUAUCUAACCAGAAAGCCACGGCUAACUACGUGCCAGCAGCCGCGGUAAUAC
rnacentral:rRNA from 1 species